UACAGAGGUCUCAACCGUUGUUCGGAUUCAUUGGGCGUAAAGGGUGCGUAGGCGGUCGCGCAAGUCGGAUGUGAAAUCUCAGGGCUCAACCCUGAAACUGCAUUCGAUACUGCGUGGCUAGAGUGCUGGAGAGGAGACUGGAAUUUACGGUGUAGCAGUGAAAUGCGUAGAUAUCGGAAGGAACACCUGUGGCGAAAGCGGCUCACUGGACCAUUACUGACGCUGAUGCACGGAAGCUAGGGGAGCAAACAGG
rnacentral:rRNA from 1 species